UACGUAGGGCGCGAGCGUUGUCCGGAAUUAUUGGGCGUAAAGAGCUCGUAGGCGGCCUGUUGCGUCCGCUGUGAAAUCCCAGGGCUCAACCCUGGGCGUGCAGUGGAUACGGGCAGGCUGGAGGCAGGCAGGGGAGAACGGAAUUCCCGGUGUAGCGGUGAAAUGCGCAGAUAUCAGGAGGAACACCGGUGGCGAAGGCGGUUCUCUGGGCAUGUCCUGACGGCUGAGG
rnacentral:rRNA from 1 species